CAAAUGCACUCCAAGCAGAACUUUUAGCCCUUUACCAAGGGUUAUCCUUUGUCAUUACUCACUGUAUCCACCCACUACUGGUCGAUGCUCUAUGAACUGAAAGUCCACCAUCUUGGCCACAUCUAUCAAGAGGGCAACGGAGUGGCAGAUGCCUUAGUAAAAUUUGGAAGACUGACAUUGGGUUCAACUACACAAGAUAGCAUGUUUUUUGAAGACCCUCUUCCUUUUAUUUUCAUGCAAUUAGAUUUUGAUGUAAUUGGCACUAGCACUAGCCGUUCAGUACUCUUUCCUGUAAUUGCUUAACUUUUAUUAAUGUAAUUCUCCGUUUAAGCAAAAAAAAAACUACGGUAAAUACUUAUCCACACCGGGUGUUUACCCCAAACUA